rnacentral:misc_RNA from 1 species
UCCGGUGUUGGCACCGGCUGUCGGUCCUGACACGUAUAACAGGACCCGGGGGUUGCGCUCGUUGCGGGACUUAACCCAACAUCUCACGACACGAGCUGACGACAGCCAUGCAGCACCUGUGGAGCACCCUGGACGGCGACCGCGUUUCCGCGGCUUGCAGCUCCAUGUCAAGUCUGGGUAAGGUUCUGCGUGUUGCGUCGAAUUAAACCACACGCUCUGCUGCUUGUGCGGGCCCCCGUCAAUUCCUUUGAGUUUCAGCCUUGCGGCCGUACUCCCCAGGCGGGGCACUUAACGCGUUAGCUGCGGCACUGAGAGGGCCGAUCCCCCCAGCGCCUAGUGCCCAUCGUUUACGGCGUGGACUAC